rnacentral:rRNA from 1 species
AUUAAUGUGAAUCGCAGACUGCUUUGAACAUCGACACCUUGAACGCAUAUUGCGGCCAUAGGCUUGCCUAUGGCCACGUCUGUCUGAGCGUCGGCUUAUAAACUAUCACUGCGCGUAAUAAGCGGUGGCUUGAGAGACUGUCGUGGCUGCAGUAGUAGUGGAUGUGA